AAAGUCGGGGCAACCUGGCGAGUACAGUGGCAGACGGGUGAGUAACACGUGAACAAUCUACCCUCGAGUGGGGAAUAACGCCGCGAAAGCGGCGCUAAUACCGCAUAACGUUCCGAGAUCGCAUGGUCAUGGAACCAAAGGCGAAAGUCGCUCGAGGAGGAGUUCGCGCCUGAUUAGCUAGUUGGUGAGGUAACGGCCCACCAAGGCAACGAUCAGUAGCCGGCCUGAGAGGGCGUACGGCCACACUGGAACUGAGACACGGUCCAGACUCCUACGGGAGGCAGCAGUGGGGAAUUUUGCGCAAUGGGCGAAAGCCUGACGCAGCAACGCCGCGUGGAGGAUGAAGGCCUUCGGGUCGUAAACUCCUGUCAGGGGGGAAGAAAUCCGCGCAAGCGGGCUGACUGUACCCCCGGAGGAAGCCACGGCUAACUCCGUGCCAGCAGCCGCGGUAAUACGGAGGUGGCAAGCGUUGUUCGGAAUUACUGGGCGUAAAGGGCGCGUAGGCGGCUAGGCAAGUCAGGUGUGAAAGCCCCGCGCUUAACUCGGGAACUGCAUCUGAAACUGCCUUGCUUGAGUCCUGGAGGGGGUAGUGGAAUUCCCAGUGUAGCGGUGAAAUGCGUAGAUAUUGGGAGGAACACCGGUGGCGAAGGCGGCUACCUGGACAGUGACUGACGCUGAUGCGCGAAAGCUAGGGGAGCGAACGGGAUUAGAUACCCCGGUAGUCCUAGCCGUAAACGAUGGGCACUUGGUGUCGGGGGUAUUGAGCCCCCCGGUGCCGGAGUUAACACGUUAAGUGCCCCGCCUGGGGAGUACGGUCGCAAGACUGAAACUC
rnacentral:rRNA from 1 species